GACGCUGGCGGCGUGCCUAACACAUGCAAGUCGAACGGGGAUUUUGUUUCGGCAGAAUCCUAGUGGCGAACGGGUGAGUAACGCGUAGGCAACCUGCCCUCCGGCCGGGGACAACACUCCGAAAGGGGUGCUAAUACCGGAUACGAAGUCUGUGCCGCAUGGUACGGAUUUUGAAAGAUGGCCUCUAUUUAUAAGCUAUCGCCGGGGGAUGGGCCUGCGUCCGAUUAGCUGGUUGGUGGGGUAACGGCCUACCAAGGCGACGAUCGGUAGCCGGUCUGAGAGGAUGAACGGCCACAUUGGGACUGAGACACGGCCCAGACUCCUACGGGAGGCAGCAGUGGGGAAUCUUCCGCAAUGGGCGCAAGCCUGACGGAGCAACGCCGCCGUGAGUGAGGAAGUUCUUCGGAACGUAAAGCUCUGUUGUUCCUGACGAACCUCCCCUCUAUCAACAACGGAGGGGACUGACGGUAGGGAACGAGGAAGCCACGGCUAACUACGUGCCAGCCGCCGC
rnacentral:rRNA from 1 species